CACGGGGGGAGCAAGCGUUGUUCGGAAUCACUGGGCGUAAAGGGCGUGUAGGCGGUCAAGUAAGUGGAAUGUGAAAUCCCCCGGCUUACCCGGGGACCUGCAUCCCAAACUGCUUGGCUUGAGUACGGGAGAGGAUGAGGGAAUUCCUGGUGUAGCGGUGAAAUGCGUAGAUAUCAGGAGGAACACCGGUGGCGAAGGCGCUCAGCUGGGCCGAUACUGACGCUGAGGCGCGAAAGCUAGGGGAGCAAACGGG
rnacentral:rRNA from 1 species